rnacentral:rRNA from 1 species
CCUACGGGAGGCAGCAGUGGGGAAUUUUGGACAAUGGGCGAAAGCCUGAUCCAGCAAUGCCGCGUGAGUGAAGAAGGCCUUCGGGUUGUAAAGCUCUUUUGUCAGGGAAGAAACGGUGAAAGCUAAUAUCUUUUGCUAAUGACGGUACCUGAAGAAUAAGCACCGGCUAACUACGUGCCAGCAGCCGCGGUAAUACGUAGGGUGCAAGCGUUAAUCGGAAUUACUGGGCGUAAAGCGUGCGCAGGCGGUUUUGUAAGUCUGAUGUGAAAUCCCCGGGCUCAACCUGGGAAUUGCAUUGGAGACUGCAAGGCUAGAAUCUGGCAGAGGGGGGUAGAAUUCCACGUGUAGCAGUGAAAUGCGUAGAUAUGUGGAGGAACACCGAUGGCGAAGGCAGCCCCCUGGGUCAAGAUUGACGCUCAUGCACGAAAGCGUGGGGAGCAAACAGGAUUAGAUACCCUGGUAGUCCACGCCCUAAACGAUGUCUACUAGUUGUCGGGUCUUAAUUGACUUGGUAACGCAGCUAACGCGUGAAGUAGACCGCCUGGGGAGUAACGGUCGCAAGNUUAAAACUUCAAAUGAAUUGACGG